rnacentral:misc_RNA from 1 species
UCCGGCUUGUCACCGGCAGUUUCUCCAAAGUGCCCAGCAUUACCUGAUGGCAACUGGAGACGAGGGUUGCGCUCGUUGCGGGACUUAACCCAACAUCUCACGACACGAGCUGACGACAGCCAUGCAGCACCUGUGUUGACUCCGGCCGAACCGAAGGGACCGUCUCUGGUCCCGGCGAGUCACAUGUCAAGGGCUGGUAAGGUUCUGCGCGUUGCGUCGAAUUGAACCACAUGCUCCACCGCUUGUGCGGGCCCCCGUCAAUUCCUUUGAGUUUCAGCCUUGCGGCCGUACUCCCCAGGCGGGGCACUUACUGCGUUAGCGACGGCACCGGGAGGGUCGCUCCCCCCGACGCCUAGUGCCCAUCGUUUACGGCGUGGACUAC